GAUGAACGCUGGCGGCGUGCCUAAUACAUGCAAGUCGAGCGAACAGACGAGGAGCUUGCUCCCCUGACGUUAGCGGCGGACGGGUGAGUAACACGUGGAUAACCUACCUAUAAGACUGGGAUAACUUCGGGAAACCGGAGCUAAUACCGGAUAAUAUAUUGAACCGCAUGGUUCAAUAGUGAAAGACGGUUUUGCUGUCACUUAUAGAUGGAUCCGCGCCGCAUUAGCUAGUUGGUAAGGUAACGGCUUACCAAGGCAACGAUGCGUAGCCGACCUGAGAGGGUGAUCGGCCACCCUGGAACUGAGCCACGGUCCAGACUCCUACGGGAGGCAGCAGUAGGGAAUCUUCCGCAAUGGGCGAAAGCCUGACGGAGCAACGCCGCGUGAGUGAUGAAGGUCUUCGGAUCGUAAAACUCUGUUAUUAGGGAAGAACAAAUGUGUAAGUAACUAUGCACGUCUUGACGGUACCUAAUCAGAAAGCCACGGCUAACUACGUG
rnacentral:rRNA from 1 species